rnacentral:sRNA from 1 species
CUAACGUUUUUGAGUAGAAUUCGAUCAUAUCGCAGCUUAGAACUAUCAACUUGGACAUUGAUUACAUCUGGUUUAUCUGGUGCUUUGGCUCUGAGUCCUGGCUUUCAAACUUCACCUCCGGCUUGUUCUUAAUUGUUUGCUUGAGGGCAAGCAAAGACUAAGUUUGGGAGAGUUGAUAAGUGUGUAUUUUGCAUGUUUUGAGCAUCCAUUUGUCAUCACUUUAGCAUCAUAUCAUUACUGUUUUAUACCAUUUCAGAUCAUUUGACAUCACUUUCCAUGUUUAGGAUAGUUUGCAUGCAUGUUGCAUAUUUGUGUUGUUUUCAGAUGAUUCGGAGCUGUUGACGAGCUAAUUGGAAGAAGCGGACCUGAUCAUGUCAAACCACUCGACCCCCAGGUCGAGCAGACACUUCACGACCUCAACAGACCACUCGACCCCCUUGUCGAGUAGGGGACUUAACAAUUUCACCUCAUCCACUUGACCAUCACUCGAUCACGCCACUGUACCUGGAAGUCGAGUAUCACCAUCACCACCACUCGACUACAUACUCGAUGGCGAGCUUCAUAGUCUUCUCCAUUCUGCACUCAACCAGACAUUCGAGCUCAAGGAAGAAAAGAAGACUCCAUCUCAUCACUCGACCUCUCACUCGACCACAUGGGUCGAAUACAGUUCUUAAUCCGUCCCAAUACUGCGUCGUUUUGAGUAUUAGGGUUUCAGAUUAUUUUGCUAUCAGU